rnacentral:rRNA from 1 species
UACGGGGGGGGCAAGCGUUGUUCGGAAUUACUGGGCGUAAAGGGUUCGUAGGUGGCCAACUAAGUCAGACGUGAAAUCCCUCAGCUUAACUGGGGAACUGCGUCUGAUACUGGUUGGCUUGAGUGCAGGAGAGGAACGCGGAAUUCCAGGUGUAGCGGUGAAAUGCGUAGAUAUCAGGAAGAACACCGGUGGCGAAGGCGGUUCUCUGGGCAUGUCCUGACGCUGAGGAGCGAAAGUGUGGGGAGCGAACAGG